GUCUGUGGCCAUGCCACCCUGAACAAGCCCGAUCCCGUCUGAUCUCAGAAGCUAAGCAGGGUCGGGCCUGGUUAGUACUUGGAUGGGAGACCUAGGAAGACCAGGUCGUGUAAGUG
rnacentral:rRNA from 1 species